UAGCGCCGAUGGUACUGCCGAAAGGUGGGAGAGUAGGUCGAUGCCAACC
rnacentral:rRNA from 1 species